AACAGGAUUGCUGAGUCAUAUGGUGAGUGUUUAGUUUUAUAAGAAACAACUAAAUUGUUUUCCAAAGUGGCUGUACCAUUUUGCAUUCCCACCAGCAAU
rnacentral:pre_miRNA from 1 species